rnacentral:rRNA from 1 species
GUCUACGGCCAUGCUACCCUGAACACACCUGAUCUCAGAAGCUAAGCAGGGUCGGGCCUGGUUAGUACUUGGAUGGGAGACCACCUAGGAAGACCAGGUGUGGUAGGCA